GGCUCGAACAGUUUGGUCAUCUGAGUCUCUCUUGUCAGAAUAAUAUCGCAUCUGCUGAGGGAUCUUCCAGGACUCCGUUUGUCUGAAUGAAUCUAUGAAUGGGCUUUUUCCACGUGUAUCUGUUUUUCAGUGACUCAUCUCUCCAAAGACUAGAAAGCUAGCUUAGCUUAGCUUGGCUGGGUACGAAACCUAGCACCACUGUCGGUAGUAACUGUCUGAUGAAGUUGUGUUUUUAACGGAGAAAAAUCAUCAGUAUCGUUUUGUAAACAUGUCUAAAGUCUCCGGUCUGAGAGCUUUUGUGAACCAGCGACUCUCCGAGGCUGCUGAGGAGAUAUUUGGACUGUAUGAGAGAACAAUAGAGGAGUACGAGGAGCAGCUCCGUCGAUCCAAAGAGGAAAACGAGAGACAGCAGAAACGACUGGACGCUCUUUUGAGCCCCCAGCUUUACAUACAAGGAGCAGGGAAUCAAACACUGCGCACACAAGCUACCAGCGAAGAAGAACUAAAUGAAGAAGGACCCACUGCAGCAUGACAUCCUGAUUUAAUUUCUUUUGAAGCUGGACAUUAUACUGUUCCAUUGAUGCCAUCCAUGCCUUCCAAAUCCUUGUGGAAGCUCUUCUAGCGGGCUUGGGCGGCUUUCCAGGGUGACCAGCAGCUGUCGUGUACAGAACAGGUUCCCCCUGAGCAGCAGGAGUGGAGCCCUGGCCUGGAGCAGGAGGUCACUGAGCCUCCACACAUUAAAGAGGAACAGGAGGAACUGUGGAGCAGUCAGGAGGGAGGGAGAGAGGUUUACCCUGUCAAGUUCCCUUUCUCUCUUGUCUCUGUCAAGAGUGAAGAUGAUGAAGAGAAACCUCACUUCAACCAGCUUCAUGAAAUGCAAACUGAAGAGUUGAAAGCAGAAGCUGAUGAAGGAGACUGUGGAGGAUCACAAAAGGCGAGAAAUUUACAUCCAGAGACCGAAAAUAAGAUUGAUGACUCCUCUGGAGCUGAGACCGAUGCCAGAAGGGACACAACAGAACAUCAGCCAGAUUCAGGAAACUUUGAAAAUACGAGAUCAAAUAUUGACAAAAUUUCACAUAGCUCUCCCGGGGGCGUUACAUCCGAAUCUGAAGGAAGAGUGAUUAAACACAUGGGAAUUACCCAAAGGGAGAAACCGUUUAGCUGCCAUCAGUGUGGUAAACAGUUUUUAGAUAAAGGACACCUGACCAGACAUAUGUCAAUUCACACUGACGAGAAAGGCUUCAGCUGCUCUUAUUGUGGUGAAAGAUUUGAACAAAAGAUGAGUAUGAUCAAACACAUGAUACUUCAUACAGGAGGGAAACCUUACAGCUGCUCUGAGUGUGGUGUAAGAUUUAUUCACAAGUCCAAACUGACCAGACACAUGUUGAUCCACACAGGAGAGAAACCCUUCAGCUGCUCUCAGUGUGAUAAAAGCUUUAAAAAUAGGUCUGGUCUUGUAACACAUAUGUUAGUUCACACAGGAGAGAUACUCUUUAACUGCUUUGUUUGUAAUAAAGGUUUUAAAUACAAGUCUUCUUUAAAUUCACACUUGUUAGUUCACACAGGAGAGAAACCUUUUAGCUGCUCUGAGUGUGAUAAAAGAUUCAAGAAGAAGUCUCAUCUGAUUGCACACAGGACAGUUCACUCAGGAGAGAAACCCUUUAGUUGCUCUGAGUGUGGUAAAAGAUUUGGUCAAAAGGGUACUCUGACGGCACACAUCAAACGUCACAGAAGUAGAGAAACCCUUCAGCUCUAGGGUUUGUGAACAGAUAUUUCUAAGUGUUUAAAAAGUUACAAGUGUAUUGGAGGUCGGGCUUCAGAAAACGAAGAAAUGCAAAAGCUACAGUGUAAGAGUAGAACUCCUCUGGAACUCUGUUAGAUGAUAAAUUUGACGACCAAAGACUAAAAGCUUCUUAAGAUGAGACUGAAGACAGAUGAGAUGAUUGAGAAAGACCAAAAGCAUCAGCCAGGUUUCAGUUCUGAGACUCAAAUCACUAACCUGCAGAAACAGAGAUGAAUGCAGCUCUUCUGUGGCUAAUUGUGACUCUUUUAGGUCCUGCUUACUUAAAAGAGUCACAGCUUACUUCCAGGAACAUUAUGCUAUAAUGAAAUAUCAGCUAAAUUGAUAAAAGGCUAGUAACAUCAAUCUAUGAACAACAAAGUUGCUGAAUGAGUCGACGGCACACAUCAGAAGUCCUUCCAAUUAUUUCGUCUUUUGUGCAAAACCUGACUUCAAAUUGUUUGUGUGGCAGGAGUAUCAGAAAAGUUUAUCUAAUAUCAUUUUCUUGUGUGAAAAUUCUAACAAAAUGAAAAUCCGUUACUUUUGUUUCCCUUGAAUAGAAUGGAAACUUCACUGAAACUUGCUAUGUUAUGGGCUCACCAUUAGUGCUUUGUCAUCCGUCAUGCUAUUUUUGAAGGUUUUUUUUAUUAUUUUUUAUUAUUUUUAUUUUAAUUGUUAUCCACAAAAUAUUGUGUAUUUAUCCGUUAGUAGUGGUGGUUGUGCUGUUAUGGACUCUGAUGAUCAGUAAUGUGUUGUCUAAUACCUGCUAUUUUUUACUUUAACCAGUGCUUUGUUAUAGCUUUUGCACUGUACCUCAUGUAUUUCAUUCUUAAAUAAAUAUCACUAUUAUACCUGUUCUAAAAGCAAAUGCUUUCUGUGAAGAAAGAGCAUUUUUUGGAUUGCUGCUAUCGUAACAAUAUCUUCUGGACAAUAUUGCUAAUUGCUAUUGUGAUUACGAUUUAAUGCAUUAAUGGUAACAUGUGACUGUUGCAUGGCUAUCGAGGAAGUUUUCUACAGUACUGCUUUCAAAAUAAACCAAUC